UUGCUUCGGCAGCACAUAUACUAAAAUUGGAAUGACACAGAGAAGAUUAGCAUGGCCCCUGCACAAGGAUGACAUACAAAUUCGUGAAGCGUUCUAUAUUUAA
rnacentral:snRNA from 1 species